AACGAACGCUGGCGGCAUGCCUAACACAUGCAAGUCGAACGGCUCCUUCGGGAGCAGUGGCGCACGGGUGAGUAGCGCGUGGGAACCUGCCCUUCGGUGUGGGAUAACCAAUGGAAACGUUGGCUAAUACCGCAUACGUCCUUUGGGAGAAAGAUUUAUCGCCGAGGGAGGGCCCGCGUCGGAUUAGCUAGUUGGUGGGGUAACGGCCUACCAAGGCAACGAUCCGUAGCUGGUCUGAGAGGAUGAUCAGCCACACUGGGACUGAGACACGGCCCAGACUCCUACGGGAGGCAGCAGUGGGGAAUAUUGGACAAUGGGGGAAACCCUGAUCCAGCAAUGCCGCGUGAGUGAUGAAGGCCUUAGGGUU
rnacentral:rRNA from 1 species